rnacentral:rRNA from 1 species
UAGGGAAUCUUCGGCAAUGGACGAAAGUCUGACCGAGCAACGCCGCGUGAGUGAAGAAGGUUUUCGGAUCGUAAAACUCUGUUGUUAGAGAAGAACAAGGACGUUAGUAACUGAACGUCCCCUGACGGUAUCUAACCAGAAAGCCACGGCUAACUACGUGCCAGCAGCCGCGGUAAUACGUAGGUGGCAAGCGUUGUCCGGAUUUAUUGGGCGUAAAGCGAGCGCAGGCGGUUUCUUAAGUCUGAUGUGAAAGCCCCCGGCUCAACCGGGGAGGGUCAUUGGAAACUGGGGGACUUGAGUGCAGAAGAGGAGAGUGGAAUUCCAUGUGUAGCGGUGAAAUGCGUAGAUAUAUGGAGGAACACCAGUGGAGAAGGCGGCUCUCUGGUCUGUAUCUGACGCUGAGGCUCGAAAGCGUGGGGAGCAAACAGG